rnacentral:antisense_RNA from 1 species
CUCGUCGAAAGUCUUCCAUUCUUCAAACUAGAUUAUUUAAAAAUGAAAAAGGAAGAAAGGAAAGCGAGGUCAUCUCAUUGCUCUAUCCGCCAAUCAGGAGGCUGAAUGUCAGUUUUGAACUAAAAGCCGCUCCGCUCCUCUUCUAGAUUUGGAAAACAAGCGAAAUUAAACUAAACCGCUGCACGCCUCUGAUGCGACAUCUGGACACUGCGUGGCGCUGGCGCUGCCGGAGCUGCGGGCCCGGCCUGGCGCCGGACUAGUCUCCCUUUUGAUGAGAAGAGUAAGUCUCAUUCUGAUUCAACAGCAGAGAUCAAAGAAAAGACUUCUGUUUUCUGGCCACCAGAUAUAUGUUAUCUGUGCUUAAAGAACUGAAAAACACACAUCAAAGGAGAAUUCUCUUGGAAAGAGAGGGUUCAAGCAUUAUUGUUAGGUGUGCUGGAAUCCUUUCCCGAGUCAGUACUGCUUUCUAGAACAGAACCAGGGAGAUCUAUUUGGAAUGUAUCUAACUCCAAAGAAACCAUCAGAGGUAAUAGGUUAGGAAAUUGAAAUACAGAAAGAUGAAAAGUGAUUCGCCCAAGCAUAUAGAUCAAAGCUGUGGCAGA